rnacentral:rRNA from 1 species
GAUGAACGCUAGCUACAGGCUUAACACAUGCAAGUCGAGGGGCAGCAUGGUCUUAGCUUGCUAAGGCCGAUGGCGACCGGCGCACGGGUGAGUAACACGUAUCCAACCUGCCGUCUACUCUUGGACAGCCUUCUGAAAGGAAGAUUAAUACAAGAUGGCAUCAUGAGUCCGCAUUUUCGCAUGAUUAAAGGUUUACCGGUGUAAGAUGGGGAUGCGUUCCAUUAGAUAGUAGGCGGGGUAACGGCCCACUCAGUCUUCGAUGGAUAGGGGUUCUGAGAGGAAGGUCCCCCACAUUGGAACUGAGACACGGUCCAAACUCCUACGGGAGGCAGCAGUGAGGAAUAUUGGUCAAUGGACGAGAGUCUGAACCAGCCAAGUAGCGUGAAGGAUGAAGGUUCUAUGGAUUGUAAACUUCUUUUAUACGGGAAUAAACGAAUCCACGUGUGGAUUUUUGCAUGUACCGUAUGAAUAAGGAUCGGCUAACUCCGUGCCAGCAGCCGCGGUAAUACGGAGGAUCCGAGCGUUAUCCGGAUUUAUUGGGUUUAAAGGGAGCGUAGAUGGGUUGUUAAGUCAGUUGUGAAAGUUUGCGGCUCAACCGUAAAAUUGCAAUUGAUACUGGCAGUCUUGAGUACAGUUGAGGUAGGCGGAAUUCGUGGUGUAGCGGUGAAAUGCUUAGAUAUCACGAAGAACUCCGAUUGCGAAGGCAGCUUACUAACCUGUAACUGACAUUGAUGCUCGAAAGUGUGGGUAUCAAACAGGAUUAGAUACCCUGGUAGUCCACACGGUAAACGAUGAAUACUCGCUGUAGGCGAUAUACAGUCUGCGGCCAAGCGAAAGCAUUAAGUAUUCCACCUGGGGAGUACGCCGGCAACGGUGAAACUCAAAGGAAUUGACGGGGGCCCGCACAAGCGGAGGAACAUGUGGUUUAAUUCGAUGAUACGCGAGGAACCUUACCCGGGCUUAAAUUGCAACCGAAUAUGGCGGAAACGCUAUAGCUAGCAAUAGCGGUUGUGAAGGUGCUGCAUGGUUGUCGUCAGCUCGUGCCGUGAGGUGUCGGCUUAAGUGCCAUAACGAGCGCAACCCUUGCCGAUAGUUACUAACAGGUCAUGCUGAGGACUCUGUCGGGACUGCCAUCGUAAGAUGUGAGGAAGGUGGGGAUGACGUCAAAUCAGCACGGCCCUUACGUCCGGGGCUACACACGUGUUACAAUGGGGGGUACAGAGGGCUGCUACCACGCAAGUGGAUGCCAAUCCCAAAAACCUCUCUCAGUUCGGAUUGAAGUCUGCAACCCGACUUCAUGAAGCUGGAUUCGCUAGUAAUCGCGCAUCAGCCACGGCGCGGUGAAUACGUUCCCGGGCCUUGUACACACCGCCCGUCAAGCCAUGGGAGCCGGGGGUACCAGAAGUGCGUAACCGCAAGGAG